rnacentral:rRNA from 1 species
AAUCAACGCUGGCGGCGUGCCUAACACAUGCAAGUCGAACGCGAAAAGGGCUUCGGCUCUUAGUAGAGUGGCGAACGGGUGAGCAACACGUGGGUGACCUACCUUCGAAUGGGGAGUAACGUCCCGAAAGGGACGCUAAUACCGCAUAACAUCCUGCUUUUGUAACAGGUGGAGAUCAAAGCCGGGGCUCGCAAGACCUGGCGUUUGAAGAGGGCCCGCGUCUGAUUAGCUAGUUGGUGAGGUAACGGACCACCAAGGCGACGAUCAGUAUCCGGCCUGAGAGGGCGGGACGGACACACUGGGACUGAGACACGGCCCAGACUCCUACGGGAGGCAGCAGUGGGGAA